GGUGAAUGACAUACCAAGAUGGUGAUUUUGGUUGUGUUAUAUGUCUACCUUUCGGGAUCAUCCGUUGUCAGGUUUUAACCUUACCAAGAUCGGAUUCUGCCUACAAGUUCAUGUUCUACCAUUUCUACCAUUGUUCUACAUCUACAUCCUAUAACCAUUUAGUCUACCUCAUCUACAAUUCCGCUUGUUCUACAAUUUCAAAGUACCAAAUUCUACAUUCAAGACAUCCACGCAUGCCCGUAUACCGAUGUCAAAUUUGUUAUCAAAGCUUUGGUUUAAGCAAUUCUUCUUGGCACUACAUACUAAAUUCCAAUUUUAAGAUGCCUUUCCAACAUCAUCUUCAAAGAGUGGCGACUGAAUUUAUGUCACGAGAUUCAAAA
rnacentral:misc_RNA from 1 species